rnacentral:rRNA from 1 species
AGAGUUUGAUUCUGGCUCAGGAUGAACGUUGGCGGUGUGCCUAAUACAUGCAAGUCGAACGGUGACGAUUUUGUAGCGAUACGAAUGAAAUCAUAGUGGCGAACGGGUGAGUAACGCGUUGGUGAUCUGCCUCGAAGUGUGGAAUAACUUCCCGAAAGGGUAGCUAAUACCGCAUAGUCUCUCAAGGUUUAGAAAAUUGAGAGUAAAGGAUUUAUUCGCUUCGAGAGGAGCCUGCGUCCCAUCAGCUAGUUGGUAGGGUAAUAGCCUACCAAGGCAAUGACGGGUAGGGGACCCGAGAGGGUGGCCCCCCACAAUGGAACUGAAACACGGUCCAUACACCUACGGGUGGCAGCAGUAGGGAAUAUUAGAAAUGGGCGAAAGCCUGAUCUAGCAACACCGCGUGUGCGAUGAAGGCCUUCGGGUUGUAAAGCACUUUUUGGAGGGAAUAGGAAGGAAGGUACCUCCAGAAUAAGUCUCGGCUAACUACGUGCCAGCAGCCGCGGUAACACGUAGGAGGCAAACGUUAUCCGGAUUCACUGGGCGUAAAGCGCGUGUAGGUGGUUCUGUAAGUAGGGCGUGAAAGCUCCCGGCUCAACUGGGAGAGGCCGUACUAAACUGCAGAGCUAGAGGAUGGUAGAGGGAGGUGGAAUUCCAGGUGUAGUGGUGAAAUGCGCAGAUAUCUGGAGGAACACCAGUGGCGAAGGCGGUCUCCUGGACCAUUCCUGACACUCAGACGCGAAAGCUAGGGUAGCAAACGGAAUGAGAGACUCCGGUAGUCCUAGCCCUAAACGAUGCAGACUAGGCGUCGGCGGUUUAAUCACCGUCGGUGUCCAAGCUAACGCGAUAAGUCUGCCGCCCGAGGAAUACGGCCGCAAGGCUAAAACUCAAA